UACGGAGGGUGCAAGCGUUGUCCGGAUUUAUUGGGUUUAAAGGGUGCGUAGGCGGCCUUGUAAGUCAGUGGUGAAAGCCUCCAGCUCAACUGGAGAACUGCCAUUGAUACUGCAAGGCUUGAGUACAGACGAGGUUGGCGGAAUUGAUUGUGUAGCGGUGAAAUGCUUAGAUAUGACACAGAACACCAAUUGCGAAGGCAGCUCGCUAAACUAUUAUUGACACUGAGGCACUAAAGCGUGGGGAUCAAACAGG
rnacentral:rRNA from 1 species